CAUCGCUCAACGGAUAAAAGGUACUCCGGGGAUACAGGCUGAUACCGCCCAAGAGUUCAUAUCGACGGCGGUGUUUGGCACCUCGAUGUCGGCUCAUCACAUCCUGGGGCUGAAGUAGGUCCCAAGGGUAUGGCUGUUCGCCAUUUAAAGUGGUACGCGAGCUGGGUUUAGAACGUCGUGAGACAGUUCGGUCCCUAUCUGCCGUGGGCGUUGGAAGAUUGAGAGGGGCUGCUCCUAGUACGAGAGGACCGGAGUGGACGAAUCACUGGUGUUCGGGUUGUCAUGCCAAUGGCAUUGCCCGGUAGCUAAAUUCGGAAGAGAUAACCGCUGAAAGCAUCUAAGCGGGAAACUUGCCUCGAGAUGAGUCUUCCCUGGGGCUUAAAGCCCCCUGAAGGAACGUUAAAGACUAUGACGUUGAUAGGCUGGGUGUGUAAGUGCAGCGAUGUAUUGAGCUAACCAGUACUAAUGAUCCGUGAGGCUUAACCUU
rnacentral:rRNA from 1 species